rnacentral:lncRNA from 1 species
GGGCAGUGUAUUGUCGUUGUUCACAAGUAUUUCAUCUUCCAUAUGCACAAGGAGAAUUUGUUAAGUGAGCAGGAGUGGGGAAUGGUCUCUGAGAAAGAUGGAUAGCCCUUAUAUACAUCUCCUUACUCGAGAGCCAUUUCCCUCUUCUCAUUCAGAAAUGAUAACUGUGAUGCAUGAGUCAGGUGUGUGGGCAUAUGCCUGUAAUCCUAGUACUUGGAAGGCGGAGGCUGAGACUUAGAAGUUCAGGCCAACCUGGGCUACAUAGCAAGUAUUCAAAAACAGAAAGAAGCAACUACAAAAAAUAAAAGUAUUAUGUUCAUUUCACUAUGUCACUUGAGAAAGUGCCAAAGAGCAUAAGGGACGAUAGCUGGCAUGUAUGUGUUGCUACAUAAUGUACCACUGGUGUGUGUGUGUGUGUGUGUGUCUGUCUGUCUGUCUGUCUGUCUGUCUGUCUGUCUGUCUGUCUUUACAGGCACUCACCACCAUAGUUGGUUUAGGGGCUCUGAGGAUUGAACUCAGGGCCCUGUGCAUAUUCAGUUAGUAAAGGUGCUGGCCACCAAGCCUGACUGACGACCCACAUGGCGGAGGGAACAGAACAGACUCCUACAAGCUGGCCUCUGGCUUCCACACACAUACACACACUCACAAAAAAGUCAAUAAAUAAAACUGUAAUAACAUUUUUAAAAGAGCAAGACUUGGCUGGAGCAUGGCGGGGGAGGGGGGGAGGUUCAUGAGUUAAAAAAACAAAAAAACAAAAACCCAAGCCUGCAGCCCGCAGCCACUUACACUAAUAUUGUAAUAGCGAAUGCCCUAUUUUGUUAUUAUCCACUGGCUCACUCUCAGAAGCAUAUUGAAGAGCUUCUGGCCAAAGCAUGGGUGGCUGAAUCAGAGCCUGGAUGCUCUCCUUCUAAGGACGACCGUCUCGCUGCCCCCGCCCCAAGCAGAGAAGCCUCAGGUUGCUUAGCACGUGAACGCUCUCCGAAUCACUGGCUGGGGUUUCCCUUAGUAUUGUACAUUGCAGGGGCAUAUGGUGGUCCACGUCUGUAAUCCUAGCACUUAGAGCGUAGGGGGAGGAUGGCCAAGAAGAGUUUAAGGUCAUUCUUAUCUACAUAGUGAGUCCAAGGACAGCCUGGGCUAUGUAAGGCCCUCUCUGGCUGCCUGUCUCUCUGCAAUCUAUCUAUCUAUAGAGGAAAUUUAUACAUGGCCAUAUGAAGUCCUAUUUAUAAAUAAAU